CAUAUCAAUAAGCGGAGGAAAAGAAACUAACAAGGAUUCCCUCAGUAACGGCGAGUGAAGAGGGAAGAGCUCAGUUUUGAAAUCUGGCAGUCAUUCCACUGUCCGAGUUGUAAAUUGAAGAGAAUGUCAUCCACACUGGACCAUGUCUAAAUUGUAAUAAUCCACAGUCCUUUGAUGGAGUAUCAGAGAGGGUAAUAAUCCCGUCUUUAACGUGGACCACCAGUGUUUAUGUGAUGCACUCUCUCAGAGUCGAGUAGUUUGGGAAUGCUGCUCUAAUGGGAGGUAAACUCCUUCUAAAGCUAAAUAUUGGCGAGAGACCGAUAGCGAACAAGUACCGUGAGGGAAAGAUGAAAAGAACUCUGAAAAGAGAGUCAAACAGAACGUGAAAUUGCUGAAAGGGAAGCGUUUGGAGUCAGAUGCAUCCUCAAUGUAAUACGGCUCAGUUGGCAGAGACUGAGAGCAGUGACUUGAAGAUGGGCCAGCACUCACGUAGAUCAUUGGAGAAGGGGUCAUGGAAUGUAGCUCAAUUCUUGAGUGUUUAUAGACUUGAUUCAUAUACAAUGUGUCUUAUGUGUGUUAAUUGACAGCACGAGUCUUGACUCAGUGCUUGACUGGCAAUAAUGGCUCUAAGCGACCCGUCUUGAAACACGGACCAAGGAGUCUAACAUGUAUGCGAGUAUUAGAGUGAUUGAAACUCUGAAUGCGUAAUGAAAGUGGUUCUUGACUGAGAAUCCUCAAUUAUGGGAGGCAUCAGUACCCUGAGUCUGUUAGUCUUUGACUAAAGAUUUGGAGGUAGAGCAUAUAUGUUGGGACCCGAAAGAUGGUGAACUAUGCCUGAAUAGGGUGAAGUCAGAGGAAACUCUGAUGGAGGCUCGUAGCGAUUCUGACGUGCAAAUCGAUCGUAGAAUUUGGGUAUAGGGGCGAAAGACU
rnacentral:rRNA from 1 species